UACGUAGGGUGCAAGCGUUUGUCCGGAAUUAUUGGGCGUAAAGAGCUCGUAGGCGGUCUGUCGCGUCUGCUGUGAAAAUCAGGGCUCAACCCUGGACCUGCAGUGGGUACGGCAGACUAGAGUGCGGUAGGGGAGAUCGGAAUUCCUGGUGUAGCGGUGAAAUGCGCAGAUAUCAGGAGGAACACCGGUGGCGAAGGCGGGUCUCUGGGCCGUAACUGACGCUGAGGAGCGAAAGCAUGGGGGGCGAACAGG
rnacentral:rRNA from 1 species